CAUCAGGCAUUUUUUAAUGCCACAAAACAAUCUUUAUGACAGACAUU
rfam:Podiceps cristatus contig62217, whole genome shotgun sequence.